rnacentral:tRNA from 1 species
AAAUCAAUAAUGCUAAUGUUUUGAAAACAUUAUUUAGGUUAAUAGAUCUUUGAUUUU